GUUAGGUCAGUACUUAGCUAACGGUGAAGCAAUUCACUGAGGAAAGUCCACCCACUGAAGCCUUAUUUAUGUUUACAUAGAUAAGGUGGAGCAAUCACUCACGGAAGUGAGUUGGGGAAACUCAAGGCAACAUCUCAGAAACGAAACGGCCUUUGGGCUCGGGAUGAUGCGGCGAAGUCUUUGGUGACAAAGAUUAGAUAACCUGUUGACAUUAACCAAAGGAUGCGAUGAAACGGAUAGCCCUGAUUUGUGCAAGUCAAGAUGACGCUUAGUUAAAUGCUAAGGAGGCCAUCGAUAGCUGAAAAUGACUAUCGCUAAUGGGCCUUAACAGAAGGUGGCUUAUCUGACCUACC
rnacentral:RNase_P_RNA from 1 species